AGCGACAUGGACGUGCAACAGCAGCCGCAGCAGCAGCAACCAUAGGCAGCAACUGAAAGCCAUUUGAGCCAACAUUUGAAUGGACAACGCAGCUGGAGUUUACCCACCGACAUAUGUAUAUACAUACAUAUAUUGAAAUACUACUGCCAACUGCGUAACACAAGCUGCCAAAAAUAAACGCUAAGCAACGAAUAAAACUGCCAAGACAAAGUCAGACGAAGAAGAAGCAAAACAAACAGCGAAAAAUACGCUUUCUUCCACCUGUUUUUUUUCUGUGUGUGUUUUUUUGUUUGUUUAUUGACAAAGUGCAAAACAACAACAAUAACAACAACAACAACUACAACAAUCGACAAUAGAAGCCGCCAACGUGUUCACAAUUUCGUUAAUGCUGACGCCCACAGAGCAGGCCGUGCGCGUGUGGAUUGCAGCCCCUGACCAACAUGCAACAUGUGUCAGCAGCAGCAGCAACAGCAGCAGCAGCUACAGCAGCAACAGCUACAGCAACUAGGGAAACUGCCUCGACAUCUGCUCGAGCGCUUCAAGUGCUAAGAGACUUUCAGCCAAGCACCGAAGUUCGUUGGACUAAAGUAGCAUAAGAAGAAGAAGAAGAAGAAACAGCAAGAAGAAGAAGGACAGCCGGAAGAAGAAGGAGAAACUGAGAAUUUGACACUGCGAUUGCCGCUCGUUCCACUCAAUCUCCAAGGUAUUUCCAGUUUCCAUUCAUAUACAUUAUGCAUAAGCCAAGCCAAGCCUAGC